rnacentral:rRNA from 1 species
AUUGAACGCUGGCGGCAGGCCUAACACAUGCAAGUCGAGCGGAUGAAGGGAGCUUGCUCCUGGAUUCAGCGGCGGACGGGUGAGUAAUGCCUAGGAAUCUGCCUGUCAGUGUGGGAUAACGUCCGGAAACGGGCGCUAAUACCGCAUACGUCCUGAGGGAGAAAGUGGGGGAUCUUCGGACCUCACGCUAUCAGACGAGCCUAGGUCGGAUUAGCUAGUUGGUGGGGUAAAGGCCUACCAAGGCGACGAUCCGUAGCUGGUCUGAGAGGAUGAUCAGUCACACUGGAACUGAGACACGGUCCAGACUCCUACGGGAGGCAGCAGUGGGGAAUAUUGGACAAUGGGCGAAAGCCUGAUCCAGCCAUGCCGCGUGUGUGAAGAAGGUCUUCGGAUUGUAAAGCACUUUAAGUUGGGAGGAAGGGCAGUAAGUUAAUACCUUGCUGUUUUGACGUUACCAACAGAAUAAGCACCGGCUAACUUCGUG